rnacentral:rRNA from 1 species
AUUGAACGCUGGCGGCAUGCUUUACACAUGCAAGUCGAACGGUAACAGGCCUUCGGGUGCUGACGAGUGGCGAACGGGUGAGUAAUGCAUCGGAACGUACCCAGAGGUGGGGGAUAACGCAGCGAAAGCUGUGCUAAUACCGCAUGUGAUCUGAGGAUGAAAGCGGGGGACCGAGCAGCAAUGUUUGGCCUCGCGCCUUUGGAGCGGCCGAUGUCGGAUUAGCUAGUUGGUGGGGUAAAGGCCUACCAAGGCGACGAUCCGUAGCUGGUCUGAGAGGACGACCAGCCACACUGGGACUGAGACACGGCCCAGACUCCUACGGGAGGCAGCAGUGGGGAAUUUUGGACAAUGGGCGCAAGCCUGAUCCAGCAAUGCCGCGUGCGGGAAGAAGGCCUUCGGGUUGUAAACCACUUUUGGCAGGAACGAAACGGUGUCCGCUAAUACCGGGCGCUAAUGACGGUACCUGCAGAAUAAGCACCGGCUAACUACGUG